GAUGAACGCUAGCUACAGGCUUAACACAUGCAAGUCGAGGGGCAUCAGGAAGAAAGCUUGCUUUCUUUGCUGGCGACCGGCGCACGGGUGAGUAACACGUAUCCAACCUGCCCUUUACUCGGGGAUAGCCUUUCGAAAGAAAGAUUAAUACCCGAUGGCAUAAUGAUUCCGCAUGGUUUCAUUAUUAAAGGAUUCCGGUAAAGGAUGGGGAUGCGUUCCAUUAGGUUGUUGGUGAGGUAACGGCUCACCAAGCCUUCGAUGGAUAGGGGUUCUGAGAGGAAGGUCCCCCACAUUGGAACUGAGACACGGUCCAAACUCCUACGGGAGGCAGCAGUGAGGAAUAUUGGUCAAUGGGCGCUAGCCUGAACCAGCCAAGUAGCGUGAAGGAUGAAGGCUCUAUGGGUCGUAAACUUCUUUUAUAUAAGAAUAAAGUGCAGUAUGUAUACUGUUUUGUAUGUAUUAUAUGAAUAAGGAUCGGCUAACUCCGUGCCAGCAGCCGCGGUAAUACGGAGGAUCCGAGCGUUAUCCGGAUUUAUUGGGUUUAAAGGGAGCGUAGGUGGACUGGUAAGUCAGUUGUGAAAGUUUGCGGCUCAACCGUAAAAUUGCAGUUGAUACUGUCAGUCUUGAGUACAGCAGAGGUGGGCGGAAUUCGUGGUGUAGCGGUGAAAUGCUUAGAUAACACGAAGAACUCCGAUUGCGAAGGCAGCUCACUGGACUGCAACUGACACUGAUGCUCGAAAGUGUGGGUAUCAAACAGGAUUAGAUACCCUGGUAGUCCACACAGUAAACGAUGAAUACUCGCUGUUUGCGAUAUACAGUAAGCGGCCAAGCGAAAGCAUUAAGUAUUCCACCUGGGGAGUACGCCGGCAACGGUGAAACUCAAAGGAAUUGACGGGGGCCCGCACAAGCGGAGGAACAUGUGGUUUAAUUCGAUGAUACGCGAGGAACCUUACCCGGGCUUAAAUUGCAGUGGAAUGAUGUGGAAACAUGUCAGUGAGCAAUCACCGCUGUGAAGGUGCUGCAUGGUUGUCGUCAGCUCGUGCCGUGAGGUGUCGGCUUAAGUGCCAUAACGAGCGCAACCCUUAUCUUCAGUUACUAACAGGUCAUGCUGAGGACUCUGGAGAGACUGCCGUCGUAAGAUGUGAGGAAGGUGGGGAUGACGUCAAAUCAGCACGGCCCUUACGUCCGGGGCUACACACGUGUUACAAUGGGGGGUACAGAAGGCAGCUAGCGGGUGACCGCAUGCUAAUCCCAAAAUCCUCUCUCAGUUCGGAUCGAAGUCUGCAACCCGACUUCGUGAAGCUGGAUUCGCUAGUAAUCGCGCAUCAGCCACGGCGCGGUGAAUACGUUCCCGGGCCU
rnacentral:rRNA from 1 species